AAGUCGUAACAAGGUCUCCGUUGGUGAACCAGCGGAGGGAUCAUUACAGAGUUGCAAAACUCCCUAAACCAUCGCGAACCCACCCCUAAACAGUUGCUUCGGCGGCGCCCGAAGGCCCCUAGCGGCCGGACCGCCCGCCGGGGACCCCCCCAACCUCUUGUUUUUACCAAACGGCCUCUCUGAGUACUGUACUUUAAAAAUAAGUCAAAACUUUCAACAACGGAUCUCUUGGUUCUG
rnacentral:misc_RNA from 1 species